AGUGAACGCUGGCGGCAGGCCUAACACAUGCAAGUCGAGCGGCAGCGCGGGGGCAACCCUGGCGGCGAGCGGCGGACGGGUGAGGAAUUCGUCGGAAUCUGCCUUUUUGUGGGGGAUAACGUAGGGAAACUUACGCUAAUACCGCAUACGUCCUACGGGAGAAAGUGGGGGACCGCAAGGCCUCACGCAGAAAGAUGAGCCGACGACCGAUUAGCUAGUUUGUGGGGUAAAGGGCCACCAAGGCGACGAUCGGUAGCUGGUCUGAGAGGAUGAUCAGCCACACUGGGACUGGGACACGGCCCAGACUCCUGCGGGAGGCAGCAGUGGGGAAUAUUGGACAAUGGGCGCAAGCCUGAUCCAGCCAUGCCGCGUGUGUGAAGAAGGCCUUCGGGUUGUAAAGCACUUUUGUCCGGAAAGAAAUCCCUGGAGCUAAUACCUUCGGGGGAUGACGGUACCGGAAGAAGAAGCACCGGCUAACUUCGUG
rnacentral:rRNA from 1 species